CAAUAAGCGGAGGAAAAAGAAACCAACAGGGAUUGCCUCAGUAACGGCGAGUGAAGCGGCAACAGCUCAAAUUUGAAAUCUGGCCUCGGCCCGAGUUGUAAUUUGCAGAGGAUGCUUCUGGCAACGUGCCUUCCGAGUCCCCUGGAACGGGGCGCCGGAGAGGGUGAGAGCCCCGUACGGUUGGACGCCGCGCCUGUGUGAAGCUCCUUCGACGAGUCGAGUAGUUUGGGAAUGCUGCUCUAAGCGGGAGGUAAAUUCCUUCUAAAGCUAAAUACCGGCCAGAGACCGAUAGCGCACAAGUAGAGUGAUCGAAAGAUGAAAAGCACUUUGGAAAGAGGGUUAAAAAGUACGUGAAAUUGCUGAAAGGGAAGCGCCUGCGACCAGACUCGCGCCGGGCGAAUCAUCCAGCGUUCUCGCUGGUGCACUUCGCCCGGUCCGGGCCAGCAUCGGUUCUGACGGGGGGACAAAAGCCCGGGAAAUGUAGCUCCCUCCGGGGAGUGUUAUAGUCCCUCGCCUAAUACCCCCGCCGGGACCGAGGACCGCGCUUUACGCAAGGAUGCUGGCAUAAUGGUCGUCGGCGACCCGUCUUGAAACACGGACCAAGGAGUCGAACAUUUGUGCGAGUGUUUGGGUGGAAAACCCUCACGCGCAAUGAAAGUGAACUUUGGUGGGAGCCUCGGCGCACCACCGACCGAUCCUGAAGUUUUCGGAUGGAUUUGAGUAGGAGCAUAACUGUUCGGACCCGAAAGAUGGUGAACUAUGCCUGUGUAGGGUGAAGCCAGAGGAAACUCUGGUGGAGGCUCGCAGCGGUUCUGACGUGCAAAUCGAUCGUCAAACAUGGGCAUGGGGGCGAAAGACUAAUCGAACCAUCUAGU
rnacentral:rRNA from 1 species